AUUGAACGCUGGCGGCAGGCUUAACACAUGCAAGUCGAGCGGUAACAGAGAGAAGCUUGCUUCUCUGCUGACGAGCGGCGGACGGGUGAGUAAUGCCUAGGAAUCUGCCUAGUAGUGGGGGAUAACUUGCCGAAAGGUAAGCUAAUACCGCAUACGUCCUACGGGAGAAAGGAGGGGACCUUCGGGCCUUUCGCUAUUAGAUGAGCCUAGGUCGGAUUAGUUAGUUGGUGAGGUAAUGGCUCACCAAGACCGCGAUCCGUAACUGGUCUGAGAGGACGAUCAGUCACACUGGAACUGAGACACGGUCCAGACUCCUACGGGAGGCAGCAGUGGGGAAUAUUGGACAAUGGGGGGAACCCUGAUCCAGCCAUGCCGCGUGUGUGAAGAAGGUCUUAGGAUUGUAAAGCACUUUAAGUUGGGAGGAAGAGCAGUUAACUAAUAUUUGACUGUUUUGACGUUACCGACAGAAUAAGCACCGGCUAACUUCGUGCCAGCCGCCGCCGUAA
rnacentral:rRNA from 1 species